rnacentral:rRNA from 1 species
UACGGGGGGGGCAAGCGUUGUUCGGAAUUACUGGGCGUAAAGGGUCUGUAGGUGGCUUGCUAAGUCAGACGUGAAAUCCCUCGGCUUAACCGGGGAACUGCGUCUGAUACUGGCGAGCUUGAGUGCAGGAGAGGAACGCGGAAUUCCAGGUGUAGCGGUGAAAUGCGUAGAUAUCUGGAGGAACACCGGUGGCGAAGGCGCCCACCUGGCCUGCUACUGACGCUGAAGCUCGAAAGCUAGGGGAGCAAACGGG